ensembl:lncRNA
AGGUGGGCCCAAUGUCAUCAUAAGCAUUCUUAAAAGUGGAAGAUGGAGGCGGAGUAGGCCAGAGUGAUGUGCUGAGACGGGAGAAGGACCUAGUCUGCCACUGCUGACUUUGAAGAUUGAGGAAGAGUGGGAAGGGGCUCAAAGCAAGGAAUGUGGGGCCUCUAGAAGCUGAAAAAGGGAGAGGAGAAUCACCUACACUGAAUCUUGUGUAGGCUCAGUGGAGUCUUAGAAGAAAUCAUACAUUUUGUUCUAUUUCCUAAGCAAGAUUCUUUUAUGGAAUAUAAGAGCCUGUAUCUGGGAGAACUCAGCUAAGACAAUUAUGUUUAUAGUUAUUACCUUGGUUGGAAAUGUUCAAUAAAAAAAGCUUCAAACGUGUUAAUAUAUUAAGAAGAAAGAGUUAAAGCACAUUGGGGAAUAUUUUUUACAGUCAUUUUAUUAUAAAUUCACCUCAGAGCUCUGUUCUGGGUCUCUGGCCUGCUGCCUACUUCACAGUUUCAGUUCUACUUAAACUAAGAAGAGAAAACAAGAACUUAACACAACUAAGGGCUCUCCCCAGCUCUGCUCUUCACGUGAUGGAUUCUUUCCAGGAUAAAGGGCCACAGAUCUUCCCCUCGGACUCCAAAUGCAGGACUUAGCAAUGAGAAGAACUGCCUUUUAUCUACCGAGCAUUGAAAUGGCUACAACUAGAAAUCAAUUUCUUUGGGCCUUUGAGACUCCUCUCUGUGCGGAUCAUGGGGUCUUGAGUGAGAUUUGUCUUCGAGUGAAAUUUUUCCUACUUGGGAUCCUUAGGCAUCUGGGGGCAAAGUGAUGGGAAUACAACAGUUAUUUUUAAUAUUGUAAAAAUUCUAAUGGAAAUCAUACACUUAGCCACAAAAAUCAUUGUCCAGGAUGACCAAAGUGUCGCAUGUUCCUGCUUUCAGUUGGAAUUUUACUAUCUUGUAUGUGUCUAAAGUUCCGACUGCUGGAAGUUAGUGUUUAUCUUUAGUAAAAAAGGAGACCACUUAUUUGUUGUUUAAUAAGAACAGUUUUGUAAAUAAGCAUCUUAGGAACUUGGAGUUAGGGCUGGGGGAAGGGUGGAAGUGAGAAGGUCCUUGGUGGUGAGAAAGUUGAGAGGAGAGCAUCUCCCUCUGCCUCGCAAGCUCACAGCGUAGGGCAGAGAGAAAGCAGCCUGUUAGUGUGAGUGAAGCCACAUGUAAUAUAUCUGGGAAAGAUAAUUCAAACUCGAGUUAUUGUGUGAUAUGCUAUGAAAUGUCAGUGACGAUGAGCAAAAGGAAUCUUGGAUUCACUUAGAGCCUUUCAAGUCAAUCCUACAGAUGUAAGCUGACUGCCUGUUUCUAGUUUAGGUGCUGCUCCAGUUAGAAAGACCAGCAAAAUCCUAGACCCGUCAGGAGGAUACUGGGGAGAGGAGGGAAGCCCCCUGGCAUGCUUUGGUAUGAGCCCAGUGCAUCUGGUCUUGGAAGAGAUCCAUUGGGUUGUGUGCUGCAAGGAAGACCUCACCAACCUGGAAAACACCAGACCUACCUGGUGUUUGUAGACUUACUGUUUGUCAGGCACUGUAACCAGAUAGUUUGCAACUAAUUUAAAAAUAUGCUUUUUUCCCCUUUUUUUAUGAUUUCAGAAGAAAUCUACUUUGUCUGUGGGAAACUAAUAAAAACUACAAACUCCAACCAAAAAAAACUCAGAUAAAGAAGAAACUAAUGCUUCCAUCCCAUGAUAAGCAUAUUUUAAACUCUUUCUGCAUUUUUUCUGAUUUCAAACUUACAAUAAUACUGAAAUAAAGAAAACAGAAAGUAAAAGUCUCUGCUAAUCCUAUCUACUACAGAUAAUUAUGGUUAAUGGAUUAGUAUACAUUUUUUUUUCUCUAAAUGCAAUAUAACCAAUUUCAAAAAAAAUUGAAAAUAGAGGAUUAAAAAAAAUGUCACUCGGUCACUCAUGUUAUCUCAUUAUCUUAACCAGUAUUUUAUUUUGGUCAGUUUGACUCUUUUCUCCUAUCAUAUAUUCCUAUUUUUAUAUAUUUGUAAUCAUG